rnacentral:rRNA from 1 species
AGUGAACGCUGGCGGUAGGCCUAACACAUGCAAGUCGAACGGCAGCACAGUAAGAGCUUGCUCUUACGGGUGGCGAGUGGCGGACGGGUGAGGAAUACAUCGGAAUCUACUUUUUCGUGGGGGAUAACGUAGGGAAACUUACGCUAAUACAGCAUACGACCUACGGGUGAAAGCAGGGGAUCUUCGGACCUUGCGCGAAUGAAUGAGCCGAUGUCGGAUUAGCUAGUUGGCGGGGUAAAGGCCAACCAAGGCGAGGAUCCGUAGCUGGUCUGAGAGGAUGAUCAGCCACACUGGAACUGAGACACGGUCCAGACUCCUACGGGAGGCAGCAGUGGGGAAUAUUGGACAAUGGGCGCAAGCCUGAUCCAGCCAUACCGCGUGGGUGAAGAAGGCCUUCGGGUUGUAAAGCCCUUUUGUUGGGAAAGAAAAGCAGCAGGUUAAUACCCCGCUGUUCUGACGGUACCCAAAGAAUAAGCACCGGCUAACUUCGUG